rnacentral:piRNA from 2 species
UCCUCCAAAUAAGGGAGACCAGUGCCUUC